GAGCUUGGCUUGCUGGUAGAGCUAGCUGUGCAACACUUAUCGGUCUGGAGUCUUUGCUGCUCUUUGCUUUGCUGAGAAGCAAAGCUGAGAACUUUCCCCAGCAUUCCUUUUGGCCCUGGUCCCUCCUGCUGACUUGUGCUGAUUCAGCUGAGGUCUGGCUGUCUCUGCUAGGCCAUGCCACCACUGCUGCUAUCUCGGCUCUGCCCAACUGGACUUCUGAUGAAUUUGUGAAGUGUUUAUGAGUGGCUCAAGCUGCUGCUGCUGCUGACCUCUGAACUGAACUACAGAUUUCCAGACAACAAGGGCAGGAGUUGCUCCAAAGAACCUUUCCUAAACAGGAGAUACAAUGCAGACAACUGGGGGAGAAAAGACUUACCUAGCUGUGAACCCUGCAAGUUACAGCAAUGACUGGCCUGAUGAGAAAUGUCCACUGAGGCAGUAGUGGUACAAAUGGUAAGGAUGUGACCAACGCUUUCUAAUUGGAUUUAAGGCUACUUUUCAUGAGGGGAUGUAUGCCUGAUACCACAAACAUGGCUUAAAAAAAACAAAACAAAACCCAUGGCUGGUGAAAUCAGAGGCUUUCCCUAUAGGAGAGUCUACUUCUAUCGUUUUGCUAAAAGGACAUAAUAUCAAAACAUCACAGUGUCCUCUCAGUACUUUCCCUUAUGCCCAUAGAUUAAAGCAGUUCUCAUUCCCCACCAUAGAAGCUUUAUCCUUCCCCAGUGGAUGCUGAUUAACACCGUGUGGUGGUUUGACUGAAAACGGCAUUCAUAACCUCAUAUAUUUGAAUACUUGGUCUUCCAUUGGUAGAACUAUUUGGGAAGGCUUAUAAAGUGUGGUUGCUUGAAUAGGAAUGGCCACCACAGACUCAUGUGUUUGAGUGCUUGUCGCAUAGGGAAUGGCAUUAUUCGGAGGUAUGGCCUUGUUGGAGAACUUGUGGCCUUAUUGGAGGAAGUGUGUCACUGUGGGGGCAGGCUUUGAGGUCUCCUAUGCUCAAGCUACACCCAGUGUGGCUCCCAGUCACUUAUACUACCUGCAGAUCAAUAUGUAGAUCUCUCAGCAUCCAGCAUCUCCAGCCCUAUGUCUGCUUGCACAUCAUCAGGAUGAGAAUGGACUAAACCUCUGACAUUGAAAAUCAACCCCAAUUACAUGUUUUCCCUGAUAAAAGUUGCUGUGGUCAUGGUUAGAAACCCUAAGUCAAGAAGGGUAACCUCAUUGGAAGAGAUGCUCUCUCUUUCUCAUUCUCUCUCUCUCUCUCUCUCUCUCUCUCUCUCUCUCUCUCUCUCUCUCUCUCUCUCUCUCUCUCUCUCCAUCCUACUCAUAUAUAAGGAUGCAGGCUCUCAGCAUCCCAGAACCAUGCUUGCCUGCCUGCUACCAUCCUCCCACCAGGGCAGUCACAGAUUCUAACCCUCUUGAACUUUGACUCCCAGAUCAAAUGAUUUUCUCUAUAUAGUGCCUUGGUCAUGGUGUCUUAUCUUAGCAAUAAAAAGGUAACCAAGACCCACAGUUGCUCAGUUUACAGAAAACAAGAAAACAAGUGCCUGGGCAGGGAAGGUGCUCAGCCCUAAAUGGGACACUGUGCUCAAGGCUCAGGAAGUAACCUGAAAGUGGAAUGCUGGAUUGUAAGGGUCAGAGGUCAGAACUGCUGAGAAUAGGCACCGUGUCCUCUGGAUGCAAUAGGACUGCUACACAUGCAACAUCACAGCAGCUCUGGUUGCCUGCACAAGAUGUGAACAAGAUCAAGUCAGUCAACAUUCUAGUGUGGAUGGACAAAGGGUGGUUAGCAGUUAACUGAGGGUCUACAGGCAGCUGAUGACUGCUCUGGGAGGAAGAGUCAUUUUCUUCAGGGUGUGGCUCCUGGUCAUGGUCCAAGCUCCAGUGGAAUGCCUCACAAUUACACCUAUCCAUUGACAGGCAGCACUGGUUGGAUCCAAUGGUUAUAGGUAGGUUUGAAAAGACAUGAAGCUGGGAAGGUGGGUGGGGAAGAGACUAAGGACUUGGUAUUAUUUACAAUAAAACUUGCACGAAAUUACCAAAGAAUAGAUUUAAACUUUAUAAAGUAAAAGGAAAAUAAAUCAAGAAGGCAGGCAUGUAAGAUGGCCUUUAGCUAUGUGUGUGUGUGUGUGUGUGUGUGUGUGUGUGUGUGUGUGUGUGUGUGUGUAGUUCCUGUCUAGACUUGGGUCCCAUCUCUAAGACCUCUGAUUAUAAUAAGCAACUGUUCUGAAGUAUAAAAUAUUUCUGAUCUCAAGAAUUUCAGACAAGUGAUAACCAACUGGCUUUCAUCCUCGGAGGUUAUAUCAGAAGUGUCUUCCUGACCACAGGGACAUCCCAUGGCUCCCCUUUGAGAGAAGUUUGGCAGAGGGCACGCAGACACAGGCUCACCUGGACCCUGUUGAAAUUAAGAACUUCUAAGUAUAGCUUUCUCCUUCUGGGUGUGUUCUGUUUGCAGCUGGCCAAACAGACCUCCAGGAAAGUUAAUUUCUUUUUUUGAAUCCUAUAGGCUCAAGGAAUUCUUUAAAAUCAUGUUCUGUUCAGUUAAAUCCUGCAUUGGACUGAAUGUUCUGGAAUGUGUGCUAAAGUUCAUGAAGUUCAAAAUGCUUAACAAGAUGCAUUUUUGUUCUUGUUGAAUCUUGAAUGUCAGAAUAAUUUAUUAGACCUGUUCUCCCUGCAGAGCCGGUGUCAUUCCUUCUCUGGAAGACACAGGACUCAUUGGUGGGGUUUUCUAUUGCACAUGGCUACUCUUCUUCUUACUAUCAUGUUUGUCGCUAGGAAUGAGGAAAGUGGCCGGGGUUACCACUAAAGCAGAAAAUGAAUCUAGGAGAGAGAAAAACAAAAAUUUCAUGAAUUGAAGAAACAGUUACUAGAGGUAACUUAGCUGAGUUUCCUUUAAGUUAGAUCGAAAAAUCUCUUGCAGAGGCACUCUAUCUAUCUAUCUAUCUAUCUAUCUAUCUAUCUAUCUAUCUAUCCAUCCAUCCAUCCAUCCACCCACCCACCCACCCACCCACCUACCUACCUACCUACCUACCUAUGUCUCAGAAGAUUUGGAGUUGGACAGCCACACAUGCAAGGCCAAUGGCUUGAAGUAGCAAAGGCUUUAUGUCAUGCUACAUGAACUCAAACUGUAAGAAUCAGUCACAGUAUGGAAGUGGUUUUGUGUUGUUUUUGUGAAAUGGAUUUUGUGUGUCUGUUUUAUUCGUGGGAUAAGGAUGGGAAAUAACCCCAGUUAUGGGAUAAUGCUGGCAAUUUACAAACAUCUAAAACCCAGACUCACAACCCAUACUGCCUCAGCCAUUAUAGAACUUGAAAGACAUUAUUUCUCUAGCAAGGCACUUGUCUGAGAAAUAUGAGCCAGCCCUGGGAUUAUGACAGAUGUCUCCAGGUGAGGCUUUGAUCCUCUGGGUCACUGAAAGCCUGGCCAGGAUUCCGCUGACUUGUCAGGACACUGGUGGCUCCUGGACACUCACGUAUUGGCUUUAGGUUGGCUAGCCAUUGAAUUCUUCCGUGUUGUUCUAAAACGGAUCAACUCCAUUUCCUGACAUCAACUCCCAUUGCCUUCCCUGUCUGUUCCCUUUAAGACUUAAUUCAGAUGCUGCCCAAACCUCUAUGUUGGCCACGCCCCCUCGCUAUGUUGGCCACGCCCCACGCAUCCACACAGAUCUUCCUGGGAGCCUCAAGUCCUUUCUGCGCUCCAAGGUCUUUGUCCUCUCUUUGGCUGCUCAGGCCUUUCCUUCUCCCUUCAAAUCUACUGUCACUGCUUCUGGGAGAUGACCUGGCUUCCCUGCUGCUGCGUGUCCUUCCAGUCUCUCUGUCCCCUUGUCAAUCUAUCUUUGUUUCUGUUUACUCAUUUCUGAUCCCCCCCCCCCCCCAGACUGAGCGUCAAAUCGACACUGACCUGUGAAGACUGUGCUUGGUUUCCUGGCUUUUCACAUUAUUUACUCUUGUCAGUAAGACCCACCAUGCAGACACACAGAGUACAUCCAGACCUGUGGACCCAAGUGACUACAGAACCAGGGGCCAUAGGUAAGAACUCAUAAGGAUUGGAGUCGAUCAGUACUGUGUUUGAGGAAACCUAAUUGAACUUGAGAUCGGAUGAGCCAGGAGUGAGGGAGAACGGUGAGGCCCCAAACCCCAACUCCUAAACCCCAUGUGCCGUCUCAUGCAUGUGAUGUCUGGUUGCAGCCAACACUUGGCUCAAGUGCAAAGUAAAGUAUUAUACCUGGGAAAGAGUAAAGGUGACAGGUGUGGGGUCAGGUGCAUGGGGAGUGAGGGGGAGAGGAGUAACCUGAUAAAUUUUUCCCAGUGACAGCUUUCCCAGAGACUUCCUGCCCCCAGACUGUUGAGGUGUCCCCUCACUGGUACUCAAAGGUGUCCUUUGACAUCUGUUUCUGACCCUAGAGGAUGUUUCUGCACCUGAGUUACUUCUUGUCCGUCUAGCCUUUUGUUUAUUAACAUCUUCCAUAAAGGUGAAUGGGACAAGGUGGUGAGGCUGUCUAGUGGAUGUGGGGGGAGGCAGGUGGGGCCUUGGCUUCAUGCAACUUCCUUGUCCUGUGUUUGGAACUGACAAGGUGACAGAUGGCAUGACAGAGGGUUUAGAGGACAGACGAGAACCUCUAAUCCACCCUGGGGAGACUGGGGCCAGAAGAGAUGACAUUUAAGCUGAAUCCUUAAGAGCAGGCAGGGGGAAUCCAAAUGGGGAUGGCUUCAACGGAGGGUACCAUGGAAGAACCACAGAGACGAACAAAGGCAGCCGGGAGCUGGCCUGCCUCUUGCUCACCUGGCCUGGAGCAGGGUCUGCAACAAUCAUAGACAGAGGGAACGGACAAGCCAUGAUGGAGGCUCAAAACCAGGGCAGAUGGCCAGACAUUUUGUCCUGUGGGCCCCAUGAGUAAACAUCAGUGUGUGUUAGGUAGGGUGACUGUGUAGGAAAGGGCUUUCAAGGGGAGCCUCAGGUCCCGCGUUGAUGGGGAAACGGAAAUUCCCCUCUUGGGUUUAUAGUCUCCUCAAUAAAGGAGUUUAAACUGGUCAUAGAAGGAAAUUUGAGGAUAAUUUUAUUAGUGUUUC
rnacentral:lncRNA from 1 species